rnacentral:rRNA from 1 species
UACAGAGGGUGCAAGCGUUGUUCGGAAUCAUUGGGCGUAAAGGGCGUGUAGGCGGUUUGUUAAGUCAUGUGUGAAAUCCCUGGGCUCAACCCAGGAACUGCGUCCGAUACUGGUUGGCUUGAAUCCGGGAGAGGGACGUGGAAUUCCAGGUGUAGCGGUGAAAUGCGUAGAUAUCUGGAGGAACACCGGUGGCGAAGGCGACGUCCUGGACCGGCAUUGACGCUGAGGCGCGAAAGCCAGGGGAGCAAACGGG